GGAGAAAAGAAAAUAACUGAAAGUAUAAGGAUCUCUGGAUAAAUAUUGCAACGUUCAUUGGAUUUUGUUUCGAUCUGAAAAAGAGAGAGACAAAUAAGCAUACAAGUCGGAGACUCAAACCGCCGCCGUUCUAAACUGACCGCCGCCGUUGCCUCCGAUUCUUAACUAUUUAGUUUCGCUGUCAGACAAGUUGGUGAUAAAAAUACGACACCGUCGAAAACCUUCUCCAGUCACCCACCGCCGUCGCUGUUGGCUCUGAUUCCAAGCUGUUCCACUUCUCCUUGCUGCCGUCUGUUUUGAGUUAAGCAUAUACAUUGAAGAAAUUUGGCCCAGUAUAAUGGAUUCUGGAUCUGCUGAUGUAUCAAAUUCACAACCUGUUACAACAUCAAGUGCAGCAAGGUCUACUGCAGUGGAGUCUGCACCAGUUCAGUCAACAGAAGAGGCGCCUUCAAAGAUCUCUACUUCAGGCAUCUCGUCAUGGGCCAAAAAUUUAAAAAUUCCACAACCGUUCACUGGGUCCCAAGAUGAACAAUCAUCAGGAAAUGCUCCCAAAUCAACCUUUGCCCGUUUAACUGGUGGGCUUGGAAUGCGUCUGUCCCCUAAAUCUCCUACAUCUCCUACAGACGAACAUGUUGAUGCAACAUCGCCAACCAGUUUAUUUGGAACAUUCACCAAAGGAUUGGUUGACUCUUCAAAGAAUGCAGUGAAGGCUGUACAGGUUAAAGCUCGACAUGUUGUAUCCCAGAAUAAGAGAAGAUAUCAGGAAGGAGGAUUUGAUUUAGACUU
rnacentral:misc_RNA from 1 species